UAAGGGGAAAUUACAAUUAGUGUCUUUAACACUGAGCCUGAUGUCAAAUGUACUUGAAGUUUCUGUGUGAAGCUCCGUGUUGGAGGUCUGGAUAAUAAACAUCUCAAAUUACAAGAAAGUAAAAUAAAUGUUAAAUCUCAGAGGCUAAUCUCUGCAUCAAACACACACACACACACACACACACACAGGGGAACCAGAGAAGGUCAAGAGGUCAACCCUUGUUUUCAUACAGGACCUUAUAAAGACAGGGGUACCUAGUGACGUAGACAGAUAACAAAGGGAGACGCAGAGAACAGGACUUCUGAAUCUGACAACGGAAAAUGGCCCAAGCAUCCGGUAAAUUACCAAUAUCUUUAAAACUAUAUUUUACGCGUUUAAACCUUUAGGCCGAAACAUAGGGACUUUUUUCAUUCUUUGCAGUGACUCUAAACAGAGGGCUGAACCUUCAAGCAGAAGAGUCUGGUAAGUAUAGGUCUACAUUAUGUAUUUUUAAUACAGAAAUAUUUAAAAGACUUUUAUUUCCUACCGUGAUUAUAAAUUAUAUCUUUCACAGUCAUCAACUGAUACCUCAACAUCCGAGACCUCAUCUGAUACUGAAUCCUCAUCUGUGCUUUCAGAGGACGUGGUAUUACCCGAUCUGUGGGGCGAUUUGGACCAAUAUUUCCAAGAAGGGUUAUCGCCAUCAUUACAGCCACAGGAUGACACAACCGGGCAUGCCUCAGGCGGUCAAAACAUUAAACAUUCUCUAGAGGCAGUCCGGUUAACCGGAGGAGAUCCAGGGGAUGUGAUACCGCAUCAAAAUUUUGAAGAACAACCACCAUUUCACCAGGAGUCUGUCUCAACCACUAAUCAACCGCUGAUGACUGCGGAGAGGUCUAGGCCUCAACCAGUGGACAAAGAUCCAGGAUUCUCAUCGGGUCGCAACCACAGGAGAAACAGUUCCAGUUCUGAGAAUCCACACCUGAGAUCCCGCGGGAAUUCCAGCGAAGGAUUUCCAUCGGCACGCUCAAACAGACCCAGGUCCAGACCAUCCGAGGCCCUCAGUGUUGCAGAACUACAUGCCAGCAAUUGGAUCUGAUGUCUAGAGC